GACGAACGCUGGCGGCGUGCCUAGUACAUGCAAGUAGAACGCUGAAGGAGGAGCUUGCUUCUCUGGAUGAGUUGCGAACGGGUGAGUAACGCGUAGGUAACCUGCCUGGUAGCGGGGGAUAACUAUUGGAAACGAUAGCUAAUACCGCAUAAUAGUAGAUGUUGCAUGACAUUUGCUUAAAAGGUGCAAUUGCAUCACUACCAGAUGGACCUGCGUUGUAUUAGCUAGUUGGUGGGGUAACGGCUCACCAAGGCGACGAUACAUAGCCGAUCUGAGAGGGUGAUCGGCCACACUGGGACUGAGACACGGCCCAGACUCCUACGGGAGGCAGCAGUAGGGAAUCUUCGGCAAUGGACGGAAGUCUGACCGAGCAACGCCGCGUGAGUGAAGAAGGUUUUCGGAUCGUAAAGCUCUGUUGUAAGAGAAGAACGAGUGUGAGAGUGGAAAGUUCACACUGUGACGGUAUCUUACCAGAAAGGGACGGCUAACUACGUG
rnacentral:rRNA from 1 species